rnacentral:rRNA from 1 species
CAUGCAAGUCGUACGAAGAAGUUUUUUAACUUCAAGUGGCGGAACGGGUGAAGUAACACGUAAGAAAUUUACCUUUAGGAAGGGGGACAACAAUCGGAAACGGCUGCUAAUACCCCAUAUGCUUUAGAGUGAAAUGGAUUUUCCGCCUAGAGAGAAGCUUGCGGCUGAUUAGCUUGUUGGUAGAGUAAUAGCCUACCAAGGCGACGAUCAGUAUCUGGUUUGAGAGGACGAUCAGACACACUGGAACUGAGACACGGUCCAGACUCUUACGGGAGGCAGCAGUAGGGAAUUUUCCGCAAUGGGCGAAAGCCUGACGGAGCAAUACCGCGUGAGGGAUGACUGCCUAUGGGUUGUAAACCUCUUUUUUCAGGGAGGAAUAAAUGACGUGUACCUGAAGAAUAAGCAUCGGCUAACUCCGUGCCAGCAGCCGCGGUAAGACGGAGGAUGCAAGUGUUAUCCGGAAUCACUGGGCGUAAAGCGUCUGUAGGUGGUCAAAUAAGUCAACUGUUAAAUCUUGAGGCUCAACCUCAAAAUCGCAGUCGAAACUAUUAGACUAGAGUAUAGUAGAGGUAAAGGGAAUUUCCAGUGGAGCGGUGAAAUGCGUAGAGAUUGGAAAGAACACCGAUGGCGAAGGCACUUUACUGGGCUAUUACUGACACUCAGAGACGAAAGCUAGGGUAGCAAAUGGGAUUAGAUACCCCCAGUAGUCCUAGCUGUAAACAAUGGAUACU